UACGUAGGUGGCGAGCGUUGUCCGGAAUUAUUGGGCGUAAAGGGAGCGCAGGCGGGAGGUCAAGUCUAUCUUAAAAGUGCGGGGCUCAACCCCGUGAGGGGAUGGAAACUGGUCUUCUUGAGUGCAGGAGAGGAAAGCGGAAUUCCUAGUGUAGCGGUGAAAUGCGUAGAUAUUAGGAGGAACACCAGUGGCGAAGGCGGCUUUCUGGACUGUAACUGACGCUGAGGCUCGAAAGCGUGGGGAGCGAACAGG
rnacentral:rRNA from 1 species